rnacentral:rRNA from 1 species
UGGGAGGUCGGUGGCUAACCAUGCAGUCGAACGGCAGCACAGGAGAGCUUGCUCUCUGGGUGGCGAGUGGCGGACGGGUGAGGAAUACAUCGGAAUCUACUUUUUCGUGGGGGAUAACGUAGGGAAACUUACGCUAAUACCGCAUACGACCUACGGGUGAAAGCAGGGGAUCUUCGGACCUUGCGCGAUUGAAUGAGCCGAUGUCGGAUUAGCUAGUUGGCGGGGUAAAGGCCCACCAAGGCGACGAUCCGUAGCUGGUCUGAGAGGAUGAUCAGCCACACUGGAACUGAGACACGGUCCAGACUCCUACGGGAGGCAGCAGUGGGGAAUAUUGGACAAUGGGCGCAAGCCUGAUCCAGCCAUACCGCGUGGGUGAAGAAGGCCUUCGGGUUGUAAAGCCCUUUUGUUGGGAAAGAAAUCCAGCUGGUUAAUACCCGGUUGGGAUGACGGUACCCAAAGAAUAAGCACCGGCUAACUUCGUGCCAGCAGCCGCGGUAAUACGAAGGGUGCAAGCGUUACUCGGAAUUACUGGGCGUAAAGCGUGCGUAGGUGGUCGUUUAAGUCCGUUGUGAAAGCCCUGGGCUCAACCUGGGAACUGCAGUGGAUACUGGGCGACUAGAGUGUGGUAGAGGGUAGCGGAAUUCCUGGUGUAGCAGUGAAAUGCGUAGAGAUCAGGAGGAACAUCCAUGGCGAAGGCAGCUAC